rnacentral:lncRNA from 1 species
GGAGAAAGGAAUGGGCGGCGGCUGGGCUUGGCUUCGACGGAGACAGAGGCGAUUAGGACGGGGCACGGCGACGCAGAUCUGGACGACGGCGCGGAGACAGAGGUUGCGCGGCGCUGGGCAGAGGGUCAAACGGCGCUGGGCGAAGGGUCACACGGCGCUGGGCGGAAGGUCACACGGCGGCCUUGCUUCGCGCGAACAGAGAUGGCGGCCGACGGUUGCAGCGGCGGCUGGGUAUGGUAGAAAAGAAAGAGAAACGGAAGAAGAAUAGGGGCGG